AUUGAACGCUGGCGGCAGGCCUAACACAUGCAAGUCGAGCGGAGCGGCGGACGGGUGAGUAAUGCCUAGGAAUCUGCCUGGUAGUGGGGGAUAACGUCCGGAAACGGGCGCUAAUACCGCAUACUAUCAGAUGAGCCUCGGUCGGAUUAGCUAGUUGGUGGGGUAAAGGCAUACCAAGGCGCCGAACCGUAACUGGGCUGCGAGGAUGAUCCGUCCCACGGGACCUUAGACACGGGCCAGAUUCCUACGGGAGGCAGCAGUGGGGAAUAUUGGACAAUGGGCGAAAGCCUGAGCCAGCCAUGCCGCGUGUGGGAAGAAGGUCUUCGGAGUGUAAAGCACUUUAAGUUGGGAGGCGUUACCAACAGAAUAAGCACCGGCUAACUUCGUGCCAGCAGCCGCGGUAAUUC
rnacentral:rRNA from 1 species